rnacentral:rRNA from 1 species
UCUUGCGCGCACGCCAAUGGGUAAAUGGUGCGGUACGCCGCCCAUGACUGGAAACCCACAGGCGAAGACAAAUCUAGUGGUGCGGGAUUACGGGUACGGCCGAUGGCGCAAGCCUUCGUCGGACCCCUCCAUCCCAGGGUGUCCCGUCCGGGUGCUUGCACCCAGUGGACAUCCCCGGAGUGCGUAGGAUGUGACCCGAAAGAUGGUGAACUAAGCCUGAUCAGGUUGAAGUCAGGGGAAACCCUGAUGGAGGACCGAAGCAAUUCUGACGUGCAAAUCGAUUGUCAGAGUUGUGGGGGCGAAAGACC